CCUUUGGAGUGUCAUACCAAACUGUAGUAGCCCAGGCAAGGCAGGACACGUUGAAUAAGGAA
rnacentral:sRNA from 12 species